UGAUCCAGGUCACAAUAGAGGUCAAGCAGUGUGAGGAGGAAGACGUGGUGGUCAAAGGAAUGGCAGGGGGACAAGCACCCCUUCGUGGGCCUCGUUUGAGCGGUGUGGGGGAACGCGGUAGAGGACAAGGCCACGGACCAAGACAGCGGCAGCAACAGCAAAGAGCGUCCAAUGAAAUCUGAGCAAUAGUUUGUAGAUUAUGUCGUAAAUCAUGGCAUGACAACGACUGAGGCAACUACAAUGAUUCAACCAAACCUCAGGAGAUCAACCGUGGCUUCAAUCAUCAGAACUUUCUGCAAUGAGAUCCGAGUUGAGACAAGGCCAAAUAGGGCACAGGCAAAAGUCUGACUGACCAACAAGAGCGGGCUGUGGUCAAUUUGGUUCGGGCCAGAAAUGAUAUCCGCCUUCGGCAGCACAUCUUGGACAAUAACGACAUGUCCAACCAUGUGGAAGCCAUACGUUUGCAGACUAUUGCCCGCAUGCUGAAAGGGGACCAGGUGUCUCUAAAACAGCUAUACCCUGUGGGCCUUUUGAAAGAAAUGCAGACAGAGUGAAGCAACUGACGACUGGCUGUUCAGGAUGAGGUAGGGUUCAACCUGGCCAAGACAAGGAUGAGAGGUCUGAAUUUCAUUGGCCAGCGGGCAACCAUCCAAGUACCUGGACAACGUGGGGCCAACGUCACCAUGUGUGCAGCUAUAUCAGAAGAUGGUGUGGUUGGACGCAGCCCUCGUAUUGGAUCAUAUAAUGCAGCUCUCCUUGUAACCUUGAUGAGAUAAAUCAGGUCUGUAGAGCUGAUGGCGUGACCUAUGUCGUCAUGUGGGAUAAUGUCAGGUUCCACCAUGCUCAAAUGGUGCAAGCAUAGUUUCAGGCCCAGCCACAAUUUACCACCCUGUACUUACCCUCAUACUCUCCUUUCCUUAACCCGAUUUGAGGAAUUUUUCUCCACAUGAAGGUGGAGAAGGUAUACGAUAGGCACCCUCACGAACAAGCUUGGCUUUGCCAUGCCCGAAGAUUCUUCCCAAGAUGUUUGGCUAAUGAAAACAUCCAUUGUGAUGUGGAUGAGAACCUGUGGCCAAAUCCACAAGACAGGGUGGUUAUUUAUUUAUUUAUUUUAUUUUACCUUUAUUUAACUAGGCAAGUCAGUUAAGAACAAAUUCUUAUUUUCAAUGACGGCCUAGGAACAGUGGGGUUAACUGCCUGUUCAGGGGCAGAACGAUAGAUUUUGUACCUUCUGUAGCUCAGUUGGUAGAGCAUGGCGCUUGUAACGCCAGGGUAGUGGGUUCGAUCCCCGGGACCACCCAUACGUAGAAUGUAUGCACACAUGACUGUAAGUCGCUUUGGAUAAAAGCGUCUGCUAAAUGGCAUAUAUAUACCUUGUCAGCUCGGGGAUUUGAACUUGCAACCUUUCGGUUAUUAGUCCAAUGCUCUAACCACUAGGCUACCCUGCCGGGUUGAGAGAAAUCUAGAAGUUCAGUAAUCAAUCCUUUGUUUUGCUUUUUAAAGUAAGUCAUGUGAUGAACACUGCCGUUCAUGUUUUACUGUAGUUUUUCUUUGAAGCAAAUUAUUUUUGCUUCGAUUCAAAGAAUCCUGUUGUGAUUUUUUAAAAUUGAAUUUCAUCGAUAAAUUUCAGAUUUUGUUAAAUGAUUCCACUGUAUCUGUGUAUUCUCUCUUCUAAUCCUUGUACUGUGAUGUAUUUACGUGUAGUAGCAUCAUGAAACAACACAGUGAAACGUAUCAGUAUCUUGUAUUUGGGUGAUCUAAAUGAAUGUUCCUAUGGUAUUUCAUUAUAAAUGAGUUAUUUGAACCAAUGAUUCUGCAAGUGCAAGGUUUCUUUAAAGAUAUGAAUGCACAAUGCAAUGUUUUGAACAUUGGACAGCCUGUGUUACAAGUGAUAACCGUUUUUUGAGUUUAGUGUCUAGAAUUUUGAAAGGUUCUGAAAUUAG